UACGAAGGGGGCUAGCGUUGCUCGGAUUGACUGGGCGUAAAGGGCGCGUAGGCGGUUCGUACAGUCAGACGUGAAAUUCCUGGGCUCAACCUGGGGGCUGCGUUUGAUACGUGCGGGCUUGAGUGCGGAAGAGGGUCGUGGAAUUCCCAGUGUAGAGGUGAAAUUCGUAGAUAUUCGGAAGAACACCAGUGGCGAAGGCGACUCACUGGACACAUAUUGACGCUGAGGUGCGAAAGCGUGGGGAGCAAACAGG
rnacentral:rRNA from 1 species